rnacentral:rRNA from 1 species
CCCGCUGAACUUAAGCAUAUCAAUAAGCGGAGGAAAAGAAACUAACAAGGAUUCCCCUAGUAACUGCGAGUGAAGCGGGAAAAGCUCAAAUUUAAAAUCUGGUGGUCUUUGGCCAUCCGAGUUGUAAUUUAGAGAAGCGUCUUCCGCGCUGGACCGUGCACAAGUCUCCUGGAACGGAGCGUCGUAGAGGGUGAGAAUCCCGUCUUUGGCAUGGACACACCAGGGCUUUUGCGAUGCGCUCUCGAAGAGUCGAGUUGUUUGGGAAUGCAGCUCAAAAUGGGUGGUGAACUCCAUCUAAAGCUAAAUAUUGGCGAGAGACCGAUAGCGAACAAGUACCGUGAGGGAAAGAUGAAAAGCACUUUGGAAAGAGAGUGAAACAGUACGUGAAAUUGUUGAAAGGGAAACGCUUGAAGUCAGUCGCGUCGCCCGAGACUCAGCCUCGCCUCGGCUUGGUGUACUUCUCGGCCGACGGGUCAGCAUCAAUUUUGCCCCUUGGAUAAUGGCGAGGGAAAUGUGACACCUUUACGGGUGUGUUAUAGUCUCUCGUCGCAUGCAAGGGUCGGGAUUGAGGAACUCAGCACGCGCCUUUGGGCGUCGGGGUUCGCCCACGAUACGUGCUUAGGAUGUUGGCGUAAUGGCUUUAAACGACCCGUCUUGAAACACGG